rnacentral:rRNA from 1 species
CAUGUCUUUUUGAAAAUAAUUUAAAGUCUGACCUGCCCUAUGAUAGUAAAAUAUUAAAUGGCCGCGAUAUUUUGAUCGUGCAAAGGUAGCAUAAUCAUUAGUUUCUUAAUUAGGAACUGGAAUGAAAGGUCGAACGAGAAAAAUUCUGUCUCAAUUUAAUUUAAUUAGAAUUUUAUUUUUAAGUAAAAAAGCUUAAAUAAAUUUAAAAGACGAGAAGACCCUAUAGAGUUUUAUAUUUAUGAUUUUUAAGAGGAGGAAUAAGAAUAAUUCUUUUUUAUUAAUUUUAAGUAUUUAGUUGGGGUGACUAAAAAAUUUAAAUAACUUUUUUUAAUAAAGGUAACAUUGAUAUAUGAAUAAUUGAUCCAUAUUUUAUGAUUAAAAGAUUAAAUUACCUUAGGGAUAACAGCGUUAUUUUUUUUGAGAGUUCUUAUCGAAAAAAAAGUUU